rnacentral:misc_RNA from 1 species
GAUGAAGAACGCAGCGAAAUGCGAUAAGUAAUGUGAAUUGCAGAAUUCCGUGAAUCAUCGAAUCUUUGAACGCACAUUGCGCCCGCCAGUAUUCUGGCGGGCAUGCCUGUUCGAGCGUCAUUACAACCCUCAGGCCCCCGGGCCUGGCGUUGGGGAUCGGCGAGGCGCCCCCCGCGGGCACGCGCCGUCCCCCAAAUACAGUGGCGGUCCCGCCGCAGCUUCCAUUGCGUAGUAGCUAACACCUCGCAACUGGAGAGCGGCGCGGCCAUGCCGUAAAACACCCAACUUCUGAAUGUUGACCUCGAAUCAGGUAGGAAUACCCGCUGAACUUAAGCAUAUCAAUAAGCGGAGGA